rnacentral:rRNA from 1 species
AACGCAGGAGACAAACGUUAUCCGGAGUUACUGGGCGUAAAGGGCGUGUAGGCGGUUCGUUAAGUCUGGCGUGAAGGCUCUCGGCUAAACCGGGAGAGGUCGUUGGAUACUGGCAAACUAGAGGACGGUAGAGGCGUGUGGAAUUCCGGGUGUAGUGGUGAAAUGCGUAGAGAUCCGGAGGAACACCAGUGGCGAAGGCGACACGCUGGGCCGUACCUGACGCUAAAGCGCGACAGCAUGGGGAGCGAUCCGG